GAGCUGGCAAUUAACUUUGCAUGUGCUUGCCCUCUCAUCCUUUAUACACCUGUGCACUCUUUGAAGAGGAUUAGUAGGCUCUUGUUAAGAGAGUCAAAAGUCCUCUUUGAUACACAUACACUUUAUUUAUUAUUGAAUGUUCAAACGCUUAACAGCAUUUAAAUACAACUUUUAACAACGGAUCUCUUGGCUCUCGCAUCGAUGAAGAACGCAGCGAAAUGCGAUAAGUAAUGUGAAUUGCAGAAUUCAGUGAAUCAUCGAAUCUUUGAACGCACCUUGCGCUCCCUGGUAUUCCGGGGAGCACGCCUGUUCGAGCGUCAUGAAGCUCUCAAACACAUUCUUUUCUUAACUGAGAGAGUUGUGGGUUUGGGAUUUGGAACUCUGCCCGUGUAACAAACGGCUGGGCCCGAAAGAGUUUAGCUGAUCCCUCGCGAGGGCUUAGGUUCUGCUCGGCGGGAUAAUUAUUCUAACGUCGAGGACAAUUGCAAAAUGGCCAAACCAAAACUUUAUGGGUUGCUUAUUAAUCGUCCUUCAUCGACAAACUUUUUUUAAAUAAAAAAAAAUUCAAUCUGACCUCGAAUCAGGCGGGACUACCCGCUGAACUUAAGCAUAUCAAUAAGCGGAGGAAAAGAAACUAACAAGGAUUCCCCUAGUAACGGCGAGUGAAGCGGGAUGAGCUCAAAUUUAAAAUCUGGUGUCCUUUGGGCAUCCGAGUUGUAGUCUAGAGAAGCAUUUUCCGUGUCGGACCAUGUACAAGUCUCCUGGAACGGAGCGUCAUAGAGGGUGAGAGUCCCGUUCUUGACAUGGACCCCCGAUGCUAUGUGAUGUGCUCUCAAAGAGUCGAGUUGUUUGGGAUUGCAGCUCAAAAUGGGAGGUAAAUUCCUUCUAAAGCUAAAUAUUGGCGAGAGACCGAUAGCGAACAAGUACCGUGAGGGAAAGAUGAAAAGCACUUUGGAAAGAGAGUUAAACAGUACGUGAAAUUGUUAAAAGGGAAACGAUUGAAGUCAGUCGCGUCUACUUGGACUCAGCCUUACCUCGGUUUGGUGCAUUUCCUUGUAGACGGGCCAGCGUCAAUGUUAAUCGCUGGAAAAAGGUGUGGGGAAUGUGGCUCUUUCGGGAGUGUUAUAGCCCUAUGUCAUAUGCAGUGGUCGAUAUUGAGUGUAACAGCACGCUUUUGUGGUGCUUGUGCUGGCGUAAUGGCUUUAAACGACC
rnacentral:rRNA from 1 species